rnacentral:RNase_P_RNA from 2 species
UGAGUAGGUCAAAUGAUCGCAUGCGCAACGCGUAUGAGGAAAGUCCGGGCUCCGCAGGGCAGGGUGCCAGAUAACGUCUGGUGGAGGCGACUCUAAGGAUAGUGCAACAGAGAUAUACCGCCUGAUUUUUCAGGUAAGGGUGGAAAGGCGAGGUAAGAGCUCACCAGCGGCUAGGCGACUAGUCGGCUAUGUAAACCCCAUCCGGAGCAAAACCAAGAUAAGGGACUUGGGGGUGGCUGCCCGUCACCUUCCCGCUAUGGUAGGUUGCUUGAGCUUGUCGGUGACGACAAGCCUAGAUAGAUGAUCAUUCAACGACAGAACCCGGCUUAUAGACCUACUCGUUAC